rnacentral:rRNA from 1 species
AUGGCCGCAUUCCGCUCCUUGGCGGGCGCGUCGCAUCGCAGCACCAGCACCACGCACUCCGGGUUCCCGCUGCUGAUCGCGUCGUCGAUCGCAUCCCUCGUCAGCCUCGCGGCGUCAGGGAGCGGCGGCGCGUCCAGCAGCUCCACCACCGCCUCCUCCGCCCCCAUUUCCCCGUCCGCGCCGGAGACCACCGCCUUCACCUUCAGCCGCUUCCUCGUGCUGUCGGACCCGCCGCCCGGCGGCGACGCCUCCGCGCGCAGCAGCAGCGGGCCCACCUCGCCGGCGAGCGCGCGGCACGCCGUGUUCACGAGCGAGCUCUUCCCGUGGGCCCGGAACCCCGUGAUCAGGAUGGACGGCGGCGGCGCGUCCUCGUCCCCCUGGUCCUCGCCGCCGUCGCCGUCCUCGUUGCUGGAGACGAGGGCGGCGACGGCCUCGCGGAUGUCCCGGCGGAGGGAGGAGACCGCGUCAUCCCGCAGGAGGCGCGCCGCCGCGACGAACGCCAAUGCGCCGGCGGCCGACGCGGCGGCGAUCUUCAGGAGGAGGGGCAGCUGCCGCGGCGCGGGCAUUCGGGAGGGGGAGGCGGCGAGGCGCCUCUUCGUGGAAAGAGAUUUUGCGAGCGGCUGUACCGGGAAGGGCGCAUCGGUGUUACGGUUUGCGAUAGAUUCGGUAUUCCGUAAACGGCACAAGGCGUAG